rnacentral:rRNA from 1 species
UACGUAGGGUGCAAGCGUUAAUCGGAAUUACUGGGCGUAAAGCGUGCGCAGGCGGUUGUGCAAGACCGAUGUGAAAUCCCCCGGGCUUAACCUGGGAAUGGCAUUGGUGACUGCACGGCUAGAGUGUGUCAGAGGGGGGGUAGAAUUCCACGUGUAGCAGUGAAAUGCGUAGAGAUGUGGAGGAAUACCGAUGGCGAAGGCAGCCUCCUGGGCCAACACUGACGCUCAUGCACGAAAGCGUGGGGAGCAAACAGG